rnacentral:rRNA from 1 species
GACGAACGCUGGCGGCGUGCUUAACACAUGCAAGUCACGGGGGCCCGCAAGGGCAACCGGCGAACGGGUGCGUAACACGUGAGCAACCUGCCGCGCUCUGGGGGAUAGCCGGCCCAACGGCCGGGUAAUACCGCAUACGCUUAUCGAGGGGAGUCCCUUGAUGAGGAAACCUCCGGGGGAGCGCGAGGGGCUCGCGACCUAUCAGCUAGUUGGCGGGGUAACGGCCCACCAAGGCAGCGACGGGUAGCNGGUCUGAGAGGAUGGCCAGCCACAUUGGGACUGAGAAACGGCCCAGACUCCUACGGGAGGCAGCAGUGGGGAAUCUUGCGCAAUGGCCGAAAGGCUGACGCAGCGACGCCGCGUGUGGGAGGACGCCUC